rnacentral:lncRNA from 10 species
ACUAGGCUCACCCGGCACAUGGAGAGGCCUGUUUCAUCCGAUGAGGAGUCCUGGGGUAGGGGAGGUGUGUGAAAGUGUGUGAAAGAGAUGGUCUCGGGAGAGGCCAACGCGGGGAGUGACGAGGGGAGGCACAGAUCCCUUAGUGCGGGUUGUGUUCCGAGGCCAGUGUGGGGGAAACCAGACCUAGAACGUUGUAUACGGCUGAUAGGACCAGGUCCACCGCUGCAGCAGGCUGUGAGAGGGGAAGGCACGUUCCUGGCUAAGCAGCGUCCAAAACUCCCGUAAUAGGACCCAGUCUGGUGGACCCGAGAGUAAAAGUGAGAGUGAAAGUGCGCCGCAAGGGAGGAAAUGGGAGGAAAAGCGUCGAAACCAACUCCUUUGGAGUGCAUGAUAAAAAAAUUUUUAAAAAGGAUUUAGAGGUGAUUAUGGGAUGAAACUGGAUGCUCAAAAUUUAAGGACAUACUGUGAAUUAGAAUAGCCCUCUUUUAGUGUUGGACGACUGGCCGAAGGCACUACAGAGAAAUUGGCCGUGUGUUUUAAGGUGGUGACUAGGGUUGGAGGACCACCAGGGCAUUCAGACCUAGUCUUUGUAUUGAUUCAUGGCUAAAUGAAUGCAGCCCUGCCUAGCAGUUUAUUGUAGAACGCUCGCAGCUCAUGGCGAGAGACACCAGCUGUGCUGGCAGCUACAGAGUUAAAGGGAAAGUCACAGAGCCUUGUAACUCCACAAGUAAAAAGUGAAAAGUAAAAGCCAAAAGUGAAAGUAAAAAUCAGCUGUGCCAGGAACUAUGGAGACAAAAGAAAAGUCUCAGGAAAGAGAAAACUGGUUUUGCAAGAACCACAGAAGGGAAUAAAGACCCCUCCUCCCUACAUUCCAAUCUACCCCCCUUUACCAAGGCUAACUGCCCCUAAGGAGUUAAGUUCAAAGAAAUACAGGCUCCCAGAAGAAAAAAUCAGAGCUCCAGGAAGUUAAAGUGAAAGGUUACAAAAAAGUCAGGCAGGCCGUCUCAGGUCUGGCCGUGCCCAAGUUAUGCUUAUGCCUCUUAAGAGGACAAAAGGACCCCCACUAGGACCCAGAUGAUGCAGUCCAGCUUCAACCCCUACAAAAUUGCCGAGAAGCACUUCUGCCAAAGGCUAAAGGAUGGUAAAAGAAAAAGUUGCAGGUGUCACACCUUGGAUUCACCAUAGCCAGCAGAAACCAGUGGCAACAGAGACUCCCGAUGAUAACCAGUGGAUUAACCAACAAGACCCAGAUCGCCCCACCUGAAUAGUCCUACGGCGAAACCCAACCACCGGUAAGAAGGACAACUGGCCUGCUCUGACCACACCGGAGGAUGGUCAGUCUAUGCACGGCUGAAGCUUGAGGAUCCUGCAAGCUCUGCUCUAGUCACAUCCUGGAAGCUGACUAGUCUACGCACAGUCGAAGCUAAGAGGACCAUAUCCGGAUAAGUAAAUGUGGAUACAAUUUAUAAGCCUACUUACAAUUCUGUCAACACUGAUUGCUCUGCUGUUAUGUUAUCAUUGCAAAUGCUGCAAAUGUCUAUGCCCAGAGGAAGGUUUGCCAUGCCCAUGUAUAGUAUAGGCAUGUUUCUAUUACAUACACUGUUGUCGUUACCAUUUCUGCCUAUACUAGAAGGGGAGAAAUCUCUAGAAGGAUGUCCACACUGUGUACAUACUAUCUGGGUAAGGAAUAGCGUAGUUAAAACUCUACUGUACCAUACCUACUAUAAAUGUACAGGAACCAAGUUAGAAACCUACACAUACAACCAGAAACAGUCUGCAAUGGUUUAACACAAGAGAGGCUUAGCAAGAGCAGCCCUAAACACCUGUACGGAGAGCUACAAAUCGGAUGCCCAGACUGUAACAUUCGGUGGUCUACACUAACACAUCUCCAACACUUAUAUUCAGGAAGGAUUGCUCUGCUAAGUAGUAUGUCAACCAAACCAAAUUGUAAGGCAAGAACAUGCAAUCCUUUAAAUUUUACUAUCUUAAAGCCAGAGCUACCUUUUUGGUCUACAGGACAGACAGCACUAUUAUGAGUUGAUAGACAAGGAGUAGGCCUUGGAGUUCCACUACUAAUUGUCAAAAAGACUAGAAGGAUUCAAAUGUGUCCAACCCCACAAUUCCGGGUCCAUAAGUCAUUCUAUAAACAUUUUGAUCAGUCAGUGCCUGAGCUUUCCCAUCAACCAAAAAUUUACUUGCUCAACUAGCUAAAAACAUAUCUGGCAGCUUGGAAAUUUCCUUAUGCUAUGUAUGCGGAGAAACUAAUAUAGGGGACCAGUGGCCAUGAGAGGCAAAAAAAGUAAUGCCACAAGAUAACUUUACUUCGCCUAACCCUGCCAGUGAACCAACAGCCUCAACCAGUGUUUGGUUGUUUAAAACCUCCGUAAUUGAAAAGUACUGUAUCGCCUGAGUAAAAAAAAAAAAAAAAGCUUUCACAGAGGCAGUAGGAGAAACAACCUGCCUAGGGCAACAGUAUUAUGAUGAGACUAAAAACAAAACUCUAUGCAGAAACGCCCAGAACGACUCCUAUUUACCAGAUCCAAACCCUUUCUCUCGGUUCUCUACUCUAAGCCACUCUUGGCAUCAGCUAGAGGCUCCAGAUGCUUAGAAAGCACCCUUUGGCCUAUAUUGGAACUGUGGAGCACGGGUGUGUCGGCACAGGCAUAUCAGCUAAAUAGACAGAGGCGUGUGUGUUAGGAACAAUCAAGCCAUCCUUCUUUCUAAUUCCUCUAAAGCAAGGGGAACUCUUAGGAUAUCCAGUUUAUAAUGAAAAUUUAAAAAAAAACUAAAAAAAGCAUAAUCGCAAAAAUGACACAAAUGUCAAAAAAAUGUAGACAUAAAAGACUGGAAAGAUAAUAACGGCCGAGCUGUCAUAGAAAUCACAGCUAAAAUGCGCAAGUUAGCCCAUGUUCCAGUUCAGACUUGCUCCAGAUAAUCCCCGGAUUCCUUGUUUAGAGGAUGGUUCUCAACCUUUAAAAGAUUCAAAACCCUCAUUGGUGGGUUUUUGUUUAUUCUUGGAAUCUGCCUCAUCCUCCCUUGACUUUUACCCCUGUAAGUAGGAGUAUUUGUCAACUAUAGAGGCAGUGGUAACCCGACACACUGCCACGCAGUUGAUGGCAUUAACCAAAUAUCAGCCGCUGCCAGUAGAAGAAAGAGCUCAGCUCUGUGAAGAGGUGGCAAAUAGUGGUGCUUUCUAUUAACACCUUUGUUAUGAAAAGCACCAAAGGGGGGAAAUGGAACAGAAAUUAAAAGAAAUUAAAGAAUGUGUGAGCAAAAACUCAGUUAUAUGUUUAAAAAAAAAAAAACACCAAUUCCCCCUGAAGAAGAGAAAGAGCUGGAGUCCUUUAAAAUCAACUGCCUGUUUUUCUGUGGCUAGUGAGCCUUCUCUCUCCCUUUCCCAGGCAUUGUGAAGACUGUUUCUCUAGCUGUGCAGCUGUAAGGUCACUAGACAGAUAAUCUCAAGUCAUAAAACAUGUUGUUCCUUAAAAAGUAAAAAGUAAUAUAAUGCAUGUCUCAGUUAAAUAACUGUCUUUGCUUCUUGUUUCUAUAAUAGGCUUCCCCCUGCACAGAUCUCCCCUCGCCCCACAAAAUGCUUAAAAGGUUAAAGAAAGAGGGACCAAUUAACUUCACCUUUUCCUAAACUUGAAAAGACAAACCAAAUUCUGCCCUUCAUCUCCAAUGUUUGAAAGAUCAGAGGUUCCUGUCAAGAACAUGGGUCCGUGUGUGGUUCACUCUGAAGCAUCUGUCUUCCUGUGAAAGAGCUUGCGGCUGGUGAGUGGAUACUGAGCCCAACUUCUGCAGGCUGCCCUCCCCUCUGGAUACCAAGCCCACCCAUGGCAAUCCCUUCAAGGCGUGACUCUCAUGAUAAUUAAAUGUGUGAUAAUGUGAAAAGGAAUUUUCAGAGAAACCAAGUCAAGGACUGGUG